rnacentral:rRNA from 1 species
UACGAAGGGGGCUAGCGUUGCUCGGAAUCACUGGGCGUAAAGCGCACGUAGGCGGAUUGCUAAGUCAGGGGUGAAAUCCUGGAGCUCAACUCCAGAACUGCCUUUGAUACUGAAGAUCUUGAGUUCGGGAGAGGUGAGUGGAACUGCGAGUGUAGAGGUGAAAUUCGUAGAUAUUCGCAAGAACACCAGUGGCGAAGGCGGCUCACUGGCCCGAUACUGACGCUGAGGCACGAAGCGUGGGAAGCAACAGGG